rnacentral:misc_RNA from 1 species
GAUGAAGAACGUAGCGAAAUGCGAUAAGUAGUGUGAAUUGCAGAAUUCAGUGAAUCAUCGAAUCUUUGAACGCACAUUGCGCCCUUUGGUAUUCCAAAGGGCAUGCCUGUUCGAGCGUCAUUUGUACCCUCAAGCUUUGCUUGGUGUUGGGCGUCUUGUCUCUAGCUUUGCUGGAGACUCGCCUUAAAGUAAUUGGCAGCCGGCCUACUGGUUUCGGAGCGCAGCACAAGUCGCACUCUCUAUCAGCGAAGGUCUAGCAUCCACUAAGCCUUUUUUUCAACUUUUGACCUCGGAUCAGGUAGGGAUACCCGCUGAACUUAAGCAUAUCAAUAAGCGGAGGA